UGGGGAAUAUUGGACAAUGGGCGCAAGCCUGAUCCAGCAAUGCCGCGUGUGUGAAGAAGGCCUUCGGGUUGUAAAGCACUUUUAUCAGGAGCGAAACGCUGUCGGCUAAUACCCGGCGGAACUGACGGUACCUGAGGAAUAAGCACCGGCUAACUUCGUGCCAGCAGCCGCGGUAAUACGAAGGGUGCAAGCGUUAAUCGGAAUUACUGGGCGUAAAGCGUGCGUAGGCGGUUUCUUAAGUCUGCUGUGAAAUCCCCGGGCUCAACCUGGGAAUGGCAGUGGAUACUGGGAGGCUAGAGUGUGUCAGAGGGUGGUGGAAUUCCCGGUGUAGCGGUGAAAUGCGUAGAGAUCGGGAGGAACAUCAGUGGCGAAGGCGGCCACCUGGGACAACACUGACGCUGAGGCACGAAAGCGUGGGGAGCAAACAGGAUUAGAUACCCUGGUAGUCCACGCCCUAAAGCGAUGCGAACUGGAUGUUGGUCUCAACUCGGAGAUCAGUGUCGAAGCUAACGCGUUAAGUUCGCCGCCU
rnacentral:rRNA from 1 species